CACGUAGGGCGCAAGCGUUGUCCGGAAUUACUGGGCGUAAAGAGCUCGUAGGUGGUUUGUCGCGUUGUUCGUGAAAACUCACAGCUUAACUGUGGGCGUGCGGGCGAUACGGGCAGACUGGAGUACUGCAGGGGAGACUGGAAUUCCUGGUGUAGCGGUGGAAUGCGCAGAUAUCAGGAGGAACACCGGUGGCGAAGGCGGGUCUCUGGGCAGUAACUGACGCUGAGGAGCGAAAGCGUGGGGAGCGAACAGG
rnacentral:rRNA from 1 species